GCCCUCCAUGAACUGUCGUGGCGGUACCUAAUCUGUACGACUAGCCAAGCCUAACAAUUGCAGAAAAAGAACCAAAAUGUGGAAAAACUAGUAAAAACUGAAGAUAAACAAAUAUAGCAGUAUUUAAGAUACCGCUCGGCAUAUACCUUACAAGAUCUGAACAAUUCCCAAAACCCGGAAUCUCAUGAAAUCACAAGCUAUGAAUACUACAUUGUGCUCUAACCCCAGAAUGUCUAAAUCAAGAUAAAUACAGAAGGGUUAAAACUAUAAGAGAGAGAGGAAAGGGACUCCUCGGUCUGCGGACACGGCAGAUAUACCUUGAAGUCUCUAGAGGAUCGCCUCGCCUCAAGGGUAGUAGGACUGAGUCGAAGUACCUGGAUCUGCACAUGAAAAACAUAAGCAGAAAGGGCAUGAGUACACCACAGUGGUACUCAGCAAGUACCAAGCCUAACCUCGGUCGAGUAGUGACGAGGAAGGUCAGGGCCCUACUGAUUAUAGCUGAAAAACGAGGUAAAACAGUAUAGAAUACAACAAUAUAAUUAAAUGCUAACAAUAAGAAGUAACACAGGAUAAUAAUAAUAACAACAACUAUAAUAGAGACAAAAUAAUCACAAAAGGAAUACUGCUUAACACAGAGAUAACAAUCGGGGAUCUCUCAGUAUCCCGAGGAUCUCUUAGUAUCCUCAAUAUAUAUGCUGGGGAUCUCUCGGUAUCCCAAGGAUCUCUAAGUAUCCUCAAUAUACGUGCUGAGGAUCUCUCGGUAUCCCGCACUACAGUCCAAAUAAAUAUAUGUGCUGGGGAUCUCUCGGUAUCCCGCACUACAGUCCAAAUCAAUAUAUGUGCAGGGGAUCUCCCGGGAUACCGUCAUGUAGUCCCAAAGUAAACACACAGCAGCAACACGAAGAAUACUCAAUUAAAUUCAAUUUCAUUCCAAGGUAAAACAGGUAUUUCUAACCUAGCAUGCUACACAUAAUCCAAAUAAGGCAGUUUGAGCAAGUAAAGCAAUUAAGUCAAUUAGACAUGCUUCCCUAAGCUAACAACAGACUUAAAUUGGAAGUAGUAUAAAUAGGAAAGGAAACACAAUUAAAGUUACUUAAUGAAAAUAGGAUUUUCAAUAAUUAGCACAAGUACGCACUCGUCACCUCACGUACAAGGCAUUUCACAUAUCAACAAUACCAAAUUCUAAGGGGAGUUCCCCCAUACAAGGUUAGGCAAGCCACUUACGUCGAAUCGGCUCAAAAAUCAACCCGAAACCACGUUCUUGCCACGAGUACUCGACUCUAAAUGGCCUAAAUAUAUUCAAAUCAAUUGCAUAAUGUAAAUAUAACUUCAAGUAACUGAUCCCACUAGUAAAUUCUAAGCUAAUACGCGAAAUUAGAAAAAAUGACCAAAACUCCCCCCGGGCCCACAUCUCGGAAUUGGGUAAAAUUUACAAAUUCAGAAUUCUCAUACCCUCACGAGUUCAUUUAUACCAAAAAUUAUUCCAAUCCGACAUCAAAUUCUAGAUCAAGACCCCAAAAUUAGGCCUAGGAACUUUUCUAAUUUUUCUCCAAGUUUUCACCCCAAAUUCGAAUUCAAAAGAUGAACUUAAGCAUAGAUUCGUGAAAAUUAAUCAAAACCGAGUAAGAAUUACUUACCCAAAACACUCAGGUAAAAAUCCCUCUCAAAAUCGCCAAUCCCGAGCUCCCAAAUCAAUUUCUAAGGUUUUUAGACUAAACCCUCAAUUCUGCCCCUUUUCUGACUAGUGAAACCGUAUCUGCGGCUCUAGGACUGCACCUGCGGUCUCGCUUCUGUGUAGACCAAGUCGCACCUAUGACUUUUCAUUAAACCCAAAUUUCCGCUUCUACGACUGCCUUUCCGCACCUGCAACUUCUGGAGCCUGGACCAAAUUUUGCUUCUACGGUCACCUAGCCUCUUCUACGGCGCCCACCUGCGGUCUCAUUCAUGCAGGUGCUGUUAUGACAGGUUCAGCCAACAUCUAACUUUCCUAAGUCUAAUUCAAUUUCCGUUAAGCACCCGAAACUCACACGAGGCCCCCGGGACCUCAACCAAACCUAACAACCAAUCCUAAAACAUCAUUCAAACUUGUUCCAACCUUCGGAACGCUCAAAACAAUAUCAAAACACCAAUUAAACAUCGAAUUUAAGCCUAAGAACUCCAAAAACUCUCAAAUUACGCUUUCGAUCAAAAAGUCUACCAAACCUCGUCCGAAUGACCUGAAAUUUUGCACACACGUCACAUUCAACACUACGGAGCUACUUUUAACUUUUUAAAUUCCAUUCCAACCCCGAUAUCAAAAUUUCACUACCGAACCAGAAACUUCAAAAAAUUCAACUUUCGGCAUUUCAAGCCUAAAUAAGCUACGGACCUCCAAAACACAAUCUGAACAUGCCUCUAAGCCCAAAAUCAUCCAACGGAGCUAACGGAACCGACAGAAUUCUAUUCUGAGACCGUCUUCACACUGCUCUGACUACGGUCCAAAUUCUAAGCUUAAACUCUCAUUUAGGGACUAAGUGUUCCAAAACUCUCUGAAACUCCAAAUAAAUCCUCCCGGCAACGCACAAUAGCAAAAACAAACACGGGGAAAGCAGUUAAUACGGAAUCAGGGUAUUAAUUCUUAAAACGAUCGGCCAGGUCGUUACAUUGCUCCUUGAUGAAUUCUUGGUUGACUAUUUGAUUGUAUUUUCUUUUUAUGGAACGGGCUAAACGCCUCGGCAGAUUAAAUAGAUGCAUCUAUGGUUCAUGCCAUUUGACCCUCUGACAGUGCACAGUCUAAAUAUUAUGUUGGAUCAUGUCGUACGACCUCGACAUGAUUUGCACAUGACUUAAUUGAUUGUUUUGAAAUUAUUAAUAAUUGAUGUGGCCUCAUUGGCUGGAAAUAAAAAUUAUUAAAGAUGAAAAUAAAUGUGGAAAUAUCCUAUUAACAAAAGAAUUAUUUACUGACUUCAUUUUAUUGAGUUUACAGUCGCCUUAUAAAAUUUAUAUCAGUAUAUUCUUUUUGGCCAUAGUAAGUGUCGGAGUCGACCUCUCGUAACUAUUCUUCGAGAUUAGACUGGAUACUUACUGGGUACGCGUUGUUUUCGUGCUCAUACUAUAUUUGCUAUAUAUUUUUGUUGUACAGGCACAUGUAUGUCUAGUGGCCUUGUGGGUGCAACGGCGUGGUUGAUACAGGGACUUAGGUGAGCUGCAUCUUAUGAGACGAUCCGCAACUAGUAGAGUCUCCUUCAGAGUACUUGUAUUUUCUUUUCUGUCCAAAUUGUAUUCCGAACAGUUAUUGAAUUUUAUUUUAUUUCCUAGUAAAUUCUCAUGCACUUGUGACACCGGUUUCUAGGAUGAUUAUGGGAUAUUCUGUAUUGGAAUUGAAAAACUUUAUUAUUAUUCUGUAAAGUUCAACUUUUACUAGUUAAGUUGAAGGAAAUUUAUGAUUUCGAAAAUAUUAAAAUGAGAAAUUAAUUAACUAUUUAGUGUUGGAUUGCUUGACAGUGGUGUCCGACGCCAUCACAACCUUUAAUAGAUUUUGGAUGGUGACACUCGACAUCCAAAUACAACACCACCAUGUGCGCAGUAUGGCGUCCGAUUUCGGCUUGAUCGGCUGAGCCAUCUCAUCACAAUCUCGUGUGGGUCGACAUCAUCUUUCUCUAGCAAUAAACUCAUCCCAAUUAAGGGGAAUAAUCUCAACACAUCAAUCCCGUCCCAAUUAAGGAGAAUAGUCUCAACACAUCAGCGCGGGGAUUUACCCCUUAAUCUUUCCUAUACUAGCACGUGUAGUUUCGGAGUUAGGUUAUUUCAACCUACCCUUCCUAGGUGACUAAACGAUACUCCCAAAUCAUAAAAAGGAGUUACAGCUUAUUUCAUAUUCUUUCACACAUCAUUUCAAUUCAUUGGCACUAUUGGCUACAAGUGUAAUUUUCAUGCUUAGCGCGAUGGCCGCACUUCACAAUUCAUACAUUCAUUUCCUUUCAAUGAUCUUCUUAAAAUGUGUAAGGAUAUUUUGAACAUUUAGAAAAAUUAUAUCUUCAACUCACAUACAUGUAAGAAUUCAAAACAAAUUGAGGAUACGCAUAAAAGAGGAGCAUAUCCUAUACAAUCGGAAUAUGAAUCAACUUAUAGGAAUUUUGACAAGCUAACCAUAGAAGUAGACAAUAAUGACGGAAAUAGGAAUUUGAUCAACCAUAGUUGAAGUUUACGAGAAUAUCGAGGAAUCUGAUUCUAUAGAAAGAGAUUAACCAACAUACCUCGCUUGAGCCUUCCUUAGAUUACUACAACAUUUCGAAAUUUCUAGCGAUUUCAAUCUAUUGGAGAUAUAACAAAAAUUAUACCAUAAUUAGGAAAGCGUUCAUGGGUUCAACUCACCUAGGUAUUUCAUCAAGCACUAGGCGUGCAAAUUUGAAUACAAGGUUCUCUUAUAAAAUUUCCUUCACCCCACAACCCAUAUCAACCAACAAUUCAUCCCGGGUUAUUCAACAACCUCCAAGACCCUAAAGAUGUAUGCCAUAUCUUCUAAUCCCCAUCUUACCUAGACCCGAAACAAACUUGCAUGGAAUAUUAAGGAAAAGAACUUACCCGAAUAGGUGGUGGUCUAGUGAGUGAUUCCCUUGAAUAUUCAAGAGUCGAACAAGGAUUUAUGAGCAAAGCACUUGGGGAUUCCUCCUCCCUCUCUAAAGCACUCCCCUCUCUCUAAAUCUGUUGGAACCUUCUAAAAUAACCCCCAAGGUCUUUUUAUGAAAAUGGGGUCGAGUUAUAAAAACAUAAAAUUGACACUCCGAACUCGACUCUACGGUCGCAGAGUGUACUACAGAAUAGGUCUACGGUCUGCAAAAGGGACCGUGAAAUGGUCCUCCAAUACUAGGACGGCCUCGCCUAGUCUGUGAUAGAUCUGCGGUUCAUAGAUCAGUUAUGUGACCGCAUAAUGUACCGUAUAAUCUCCCUCUAAAAUUUUCUCAUGCUGGUUCUGCGAUAGAAGUGCAGCCUGCGAAAUAAUUAUGUGAUCGCAUAAUGGAUCGCAAAAUGACCUCCAAAAGUUGGGUUUUCUCCUGUUCCACUAUGCGACAAAUCUGCGGUCCAUGGAGUAGUUGUGCGCUUGCAUAAUGGACAACAUAAACGCCAUUAUCUGCACACAAAAAAUACUACUAACUCCACAAUGCUUUGCGCAACUCAAAAAGUUCAUACUGCGGCGAGCUUGAAUUCUCUAUACCCUUCUAACACAUUAGCUUACCUCGCACCACAAACAUCGAGUUCUUGGUAACAUUUUACGGGGCCUUACACCUAUGUACCGCUGAAUUUGGAUAUUCUUGAGAAGGUAUGGAAAGGAAAGUAGGUAACUCUCUCACAUUUGAAAAUCUUUGGGUGUGUUGCUUAUGUUCAUAUAAUCUCUAAUGAUAGAGAUAAGCUAGAUCCUAAAGCCAAAAAAUGUUUCUUUAUUGGCUAUGGUGAUGAUAAUUUUGGUUAUCAAUUUUGGGUUAAUCAAAAUAGAAAGAUCUUAAGACACAGCAAUGUCACAUUCAAUGAAAAUAUGAUAUACAAGGACAAGCUUGGAGUAGAACCAACCAGCACCAACAUCAACAGGCAGACAUCUAAAAUAAUUGAGUUAGAAGAAAUCUCAGAAAAUGAAGUGGCUAGAGGGAUUACAACUAAGUCUGAAAUUGAAUAUGAAGAACCAGAAGAAGAAUCUAGAUCAGAGCCAAAACCAAAUAUAGAAUCAUAUGCAGAACCAAAUCUGGAGUCAGGACUUGAAUCAAAUUCGGGAUAAGUUACUCCUGAACCUACAUUAAGGAGAUCUAAAAGAGUCAUGAAUGCUCCAGAUAGGUUAGCCUAUCUCUCUCUCUCUCUCCACUAUCUACUUCUGAUAGAUGCUGGAGAAUGAGAACAUUUUUUUGAAGCAAUGCAGGCGAUAAAAUCUGAUAAGUGGAAGCUAGCGAUAAAAGAAGAUAUAAAUUCUCUUCAAAAGAAUAAAAUAUAGAUACUUACAGAAUUACCAAAAGGAAAGAAGGAAUACAAAACAAAUGGGUGUACAGGGUCAAGGAAGAGCAUGAGGGUAAGAAGAGAUACAAAGCACGAUUAGUAGUAAAAGGCUUUCCGAAGAAGAAAGGAAUUGACUAUACCGAGAUCUUCUCUCUUGUAGUCAAAUUAACUACUAUUAGGUUGGUGCUAAGUAUUGUAGCUGUAGAAAAUUUGCAUUUGGAGCAGCUAGAUGUUAAAACUACUUUCUUGCACGGUGACUUUGAAGAAGACAUCUACAUGAAGCAAUCUGAAGGUUUUCAAGUUUCUGGUAAAGAAAACCUUGUGUGUAAGUUGAACAAGAGUUUGUACAGUUUGAAACAAGCUCCAUGACAAUGGUACAAGAAGUUUGAUGGAUUCAUGCACAACAAUGGUCUCACACGAUGUGAGAUGGAUCAUUGCUGUUAUAUCAAAAAUCUUGAUGAAUCCUAUAUCAUUUUACUGUUGUACGUUGAUGAUAUGCUAUUUGUAAGAUGUAGCAUAAAUGAGACCAACAGGGUUAAGCAACAACUGGCGGAGGAGUUUGAAAUGAAAGACUUAGGACUAGCUAAGCAAAUAGUUAGGAUGAGGAUUAGCAGAAACAGGUCUGAAGGAACCUUAAAGUUGUCUCAAGCAAAGUACAUACAAAAGGUGCUAAAUAGAUUCAGUCUUCAUGAUGCAAAGACCAGAAGCACUCCAUUCGGAAGCCAUCUUAAUCUGUCAAAGGACCAAUCACCAAAGAUUGUUGAAGAAAGGAAGUACAUGUCCAAAGUUCCAUAUGCCUCAGCAGUAGGAAGUUUGAUGUAUGCUAUGGCUUGUACUAGACCUGACAUAGCCCAUGCAGUUGGAGUUGUCCAUAGAUACAUGUCAUAUCCAGGAAAAGAUCAUUGGGAAGGUGUCAAAUGGAUAUUACGAUAUCUCAAAGGCACAUCAGGUAUGACACUUCGUUUUAAAAAGAGCAAUAUUAUCUUACAAGGUUUUGCUGAUGCAAAUUUAGGCGGCGAUCUAGAUAGUCGAGAAAGUACCACAUGCUACGUGUUCACCUUGGGUGGUACUGUUGUUAGCUGGAUGUCCAUACUUCAGAAAAGUGUUACUCUAUCUACCACUAAAGCAGAGUACAUGACAAUAGCAAAAGUUAAAAAAAAAAAGAUGAUUUGGUUCAAGCACUUUCUUAAAGAGCUAGGGAUAAUACAUCAUUACCCGUUGGGGUAGUCGCACUUUAUCAAAUGCACUCUUCUUUUUUACGGCGGUCUUAUGACCCCUUUAACACAUUGAACUGAUACUAGUAUCUCCUUUCGAGCGCACAUGGCAUGGAAAGUGUAUAUCACUUGCUUACAGAGAGUGAAGGGAUCAAAAAAGAAAAUUAAAAAUUUAGUUUUUGCAAGAUUUUUUAUUAAAUGUUAAUCUUUUUACUUUUCUCUCUUUUUGUUUAACUUUAGCUCAUCGUUUUCCUUUUCUUUUCCUUUUAUUUUACUUUUCUUUUUCUCUUCUUCCUUCUUCUUUAAUCUUUAUUAACAUAUCCCUCCUUCACCACUUUACUACCUCCGUUUCCACCAAAUCCAAAAGAAUUUUUCUUCAUUAAGAAAAAGAAAGAAGUAACAUCACACCUCAUUACUUUGAUUGCUACAAUCUCCACCUCAUUGAUUUCGAAAGAAAAAGCUUAGGAAGCUUCAACCAUAAAAAAAUACAGACCUAAUUGAAAUCCCACAAUUUUGCUUUUUAAAGAUCGUCCAGGAAGAACAAAGUCGUCGGUGCUUCGAUUCGAAAUGUUUGUGGGUCUUAUUUGGUUACAUAUUUUAGGAGAUGAAAUGAAUAUUAGUGAAACUUAAUUUAUAUUUAUUAGAAUUUUUUUCUCUGAUGAGACAAAUUAGCAGUGAAAUUAGCCAUAGAAUUCCUUAUCCCCUACAUAAAUUGAUUUAAGUUUGUAAAUUAGAGAAUCUAGGAAGGGUGGCCUUUUGUUAUACUGGUGGUUGACGGGCGGCAAGAGAAGAAAGUGAGGGCGAGGUUACGGGCUAGGGUUUGCAGGGAAGGGAUUGGAAAGUAUUUUGGGGAUGUAGGUAGAAAAUACUUAGUCUUUUUUGUCUUUUGUUUUUAGUAUUUGAUGUGUGUCAGGCAAAUAUUGGUGUGUGCCCUUACUCUCUAUGUUGAAAGUGGAGUUGGCUUAAAAAGCUUGAAAUAAUAUCAUUUCAAAAUUGUACAAGGGGAUCAUAGGACUCCCGCAAAGUAAAAAAGUACAUCUGGUAAAGUGCAAUAACCCCAAUGGGGUAAUUAUGUAUUAUCCUAAAGAGCUAGGUAAAGAGAAGGACAAUUGUGAGCUUUUCAGCGAUAGCCAGAGUACAAUUCAUCUUGCCAAGAAUCUAGUGUUUUAUGCAAGAUCGAAGCACAUUCAACUAAGGUAUCAUCAUUUCCAAAAGUUGAUAAAUGAUAGAACUCUUUUCAAGCAGAAGAUACCAGGAUCGAAGAACCCGUUAGACAUAUUGACCAAAGGUAUUGGUGUUGAUAAACUGAGGUUGUGCACUGCCUCAAUUAGCCUUCAAGAUUGAUAAUGUGAAGGUGCCAUAAGAAAAUAACAAUUUUUUAAAUUUUUCUUUCUUAAUAUAUAUAGGUUUGAGGGGGUGAUUGGUGGGACAAACCCAUGUGGGUAAAUGAAAAGUCAAAGAAAAAGAAAGAAAGGAAAGAUAGAAAGAGACAUAAAGAAAUAAGAGUCAGGAAAGGUAGGCUACCACAAUAUGAAAGAGAGAAUUCGGCGCGCAGUUUGGGUACCGUACUGUUCGUAUUCACAUUCGCUGAAACUUUUUUAAGCAGACGUUCUGGAUAUAAACAUGCAUCUUCUUCAGUUGUAAUCCAUCUCUCGACUUCUUCUUUCUCUUCAAUUACUAAAGAGCUAUUCUUUGUGUGGCUAUAAAGUAGACAAAAAUUGCUAAACCACAUAAAUUUUGUCUUGUCUUAUCUUGUCUUGUGCAAUUUAUUGCUUUCAUCUUUAAGUAUAUUUUUCCCUUUCUAUUAGCCUGACAUGCUACCCAACAACUAAUCCCAUAGGAUAUUCCAUCCUAUAGAAUAUCCUACCAUUUUACCAAAUGACCCAUGAGUUCUUUCUAAAUUUUCCUCUUGUUCUUUCUUUCGAAUGGAUGGAAAGGCUGAUCCAUGUAUGAAAAUAGAGUAAGAAUACUCUAAGAAAGUUAGCUUAUUGUAGUACGAAUAUUUUCUGAGUUAUAAUAGCUAACAUUGGUUAUAGUACAAAAGUUUUCUAAGUUGUGUAGCUUGGCAAGCUGUCCCUUAUGGGUUGUUGAAUCCAGCCCCUUUGUAGGAAAUUUUUUGCGACUAUAAGCAAAUUAACUGUUAGUGUAGCUUGGCAAGUCGUCCCUUAUGGGUUGUUGAAGCCAGCCCCGUUGUAGGAAAACUUUCAUACAUAUGGUUUAGUUUGCUUUAUUGGAGUAUCUUGCUUUAUUCCUUAUACUAUGGCAGAUUGGUUUAUCUGUCAUGCCUUCUUGUUCCUCACCUACUUCGUAUAUUUCUGGGUCUCUUGGCUGGUUUACAAAUAUUGGGUGAUCAUCAUCUUCGGAAGAGUGUUGUUGAUUCAAUGGUUGAUUGAGAGCUAUCUUCCAUUGUUUCAUCGUCUGAUGAAUUUAGAGAUUCCGACCAUGGGGCAUCUUCUUCUGAUAUGUUUCUUGGCUGGGAGACAUAGAAGUCUGGAGCCUUCUGGUCAUAAAUCAUCAGAUUUUGGGGGUUAGACCCUUUUGAAAUUUUAAGGGUUGGGUGAAAGAAAUAUGAUUUUGUGAGGUAGUUGGAAAAGUAGAAAAGGUGUAGUCCAACGUUGGUGGGUAAUAAACUUGUGACUGUCACACAUCCUUUUUUCCGAGGGGGACAGGAAGUUUUUCCAAUUUAAGUGACAUUAUUCGAAAUGAGAUUAUUUAUUUUAUUUCAGAGUCGCCAUUUGGAAUAAUUUAUGGUGCCCCAAGUCACCGGUUUAUUUUAAAUCCCAAACCGAGAAAAUUUGACUCUGUUUAAAGUCUGCAAAACCAGAAGACCAGGUAAGGAAUUCUGUUAACCUGAGAGAAGGUGUUAGUCAUUCCCAAGUUCCGUGAUUUUAACACGGUCGCUUUAAUUAUACCUAACUUAAUUAAAUUAUUUUAGUUACGUGUUUUAGAACCUAUGUGCAUUUUAUCAUUUACCACUUUUAAUUAUGGAGUUUAUGGAUUUAAUCUUGAAACGGAUAACAUGUGUGUAAACCCGCUUUAUUUGGGGUGCUUAAAUCAUGUCACGCGUACAUGUACACAAUUAAUCAUGCUUUAUUAGUUUGGGAUUGUUUGGCCAAAAUUGUGCGAAUGCAUACUUUGAUUUAUCUUUGGGAAUCAUAACCAUGUCACGCGAACGUGUACACAAUCUCGAUGAAUUGAUUAAUUAGGGUGUGCCUAAAAGCAUACUAACAUAUUGAUUUUAAAGUUAUGAGGCAUUUGUCUUAUUAUGGAAAACUUGACCAACUUUAUUCAAAGAACGGGCCUUCUGAAUAUGGAAAUUUGGUCUUGAUCUUGGAAAUUCGGUCAGUUUAUUAGAAGAACAUUUCAUCAAAAAGAAAAUUGUUCUCAAGCUCACUUCUCAAUCAGUGAUUUAACCAAACAAAAACUUAUGAGUCAAAAUUCUUUUAACUACUAUUAAUAAACAAACAACAACCCACAUUAUCAAUCAAUGACCCAAAUUGUCAUUCAAUAUACAACAAAAUCAAAUGGCUCAAUUCCAGCAUAACUGUUGUAUUUGUUUUUUUUUCAUUUAACAAAUAAAAGAAGAGAUGAAACCAUGACUAUUUAAGAUAAUUUUCUAACAAACAUGCUGAAUAUCCCAACUCAUAAAAAUGGAAACAUGUUAAAACAGAGAAGAAAUCAGAAUAUAUACAAACAUAGUAAUGUGGUCACGUUUAGUUCAAGCUUGAUAGGAGCUAGCGCAGAAUAAAGUAAUGUUGAAGAUUCAAACUUAACAAUAAAAAAACGGACUUUAGUGAAACUUGACUCGCCGACUCGGCCACAAAACUAGAAAUCACAAACGAGCAAAAUUGACGGAGCUCAUCAAAAUUUCAGCCAAGCAGCAACAGUAGCAGCGAAUAGCAAACUUUCAAACUAAUUUAUCUUCCCUCGAACUCCUAUUUCACUUUGGCUUUUCUGAAAGUUUCCAUUCCCAGAUUUGACUUUGCAAAAAAAAUUAUAUUUUUUUUUAACUUUAGAGGGGCGGCUAAGUGAAGAAGUGUAGGGCUGUUAGGGUUUUUCAAUUUUGGGAAAGGUUCUUGUUUGUUCUGGUGUGUGUGUGUGUGCGUGUGUGUGUGUGCGCGCGCGCAUUAGUGAUGAAGGUGAGAGUUGAGAGUCGCCGUUUUUGGAUUUUUUAGAAAGGGGGAUGGGUUUUUGUUUGUUUUUUUUGUUGAAAAAGAGAGGAGAAUGGAGCCGUUGUUAGUGUUUUUAGGGAGGGAGUCUAUUUUCUCUGGGAAUUGGAGAUGGGGAUAACGGCUGAAGCUUUCAAAUGGGGAGAGGAUUUCAUUGUAGCAAUAGAGGGAAAAGAAAAAAAGAGGUGCCACUGGUGUGGUCUUCAAUGGGGGAGGUAGGGGAGGUCAUAUCUCUUCUUUGGUUUGGGGUGGGGGGGGAGGGGUGGAUCGUUUUUGUUCUCUUGAAGGGGAGGGGAUCCAAAAUUAGGUCUAGGAGUUUUUGUGGGAAGGGGGAAUCCGGUUGGGCUUGGGAUUUUGGGCCGUGAAAUUGGGCUAUAGAUUUUGCUUGGUCUAGUUAAGAAUGUUAACAACCAAAUCCUUCUUUUGUUUUAAUUGCUAAAUUAACCACUUUAGAUAACACACCUAAAUUGAAACUAAAUUUGUAAAAUUAGCGUGUUAACUAUCAUUAACCAAUUAUUUAACUAAAAAUGCAUGUAAAUUGACUAAAUUAUUAUUUUAUUAUAUUUUUUUGGUUGUGAUUUUCAUUUAUUAGUCUAACAAUUAAAGAGUCAUUAAUUCCUUAAAAUACAAAUUAAACCUAAGAUGGCAUGAAAUGAAAUUGUGACAAUUUUUUAUGAUUUUAAAAUAUUAAACAUGCAUGAAAAUGCAACUAAAUGAAUGCAAUCAAUUUAAAAGAAAAUCCUAAAAUUCCAUAAAUUCAAAAAUAAAUAGGAAAAAACUUUUUUUUUCUGCAGGAAUGUUUUUCUGUGAGGCAAAAAUUACGUGCUCACAGCUGUCCCUCUUUGCUUGAAAACACAAAGAGUUUUCGGCAAAGAUAAAAUGAGCAAUUACGAGCGAUUCUUUCCCAUUUGGAUAUUCCAUGGGAAGCAUAUGAAAUUUUUUUACCGAACCUUGCUUCGGAGGUUGCCUACAUAUCCUUGGCUAUAAAGAAAUCAGGUCAGUAUAGUUCUGAGAGUUUUGGUAGCUGGGACUACUGAAUAGCUGUGAUUUCACUGUUGUUGAUACUGUUACUGCUACUGAGCUCCUUAUUACACCAAAAUCAAAAUGAAAAACUAAACUAACUAAACCUAUCAGCUACGGGUUACAAGAUUCCUAUCUAUAAACCUUCUGAAGUUUGAUCUUGAGUCUUGGUUGGUUCUCUAUGCAGACUUUGAUUUGAAUCUUGAUGCUUGUUAGCAGCAAGUGUUGGUUCAUUCUUCUUCAACUUUUCAGAUCAAGGCGGGACAUGUAAAGUUUGUGACUUCAAUCAUGCCUUGAGCAGUCCACAUCUUUUCUUCACUUCUGCACUUUGAGUUCACUUCUUUUUCUUUUCUUCUGGAUUGAGACUUCUUCUUUUGGUCGUCUCGAACCUGGGCCUCGAGGUAAAACCUGCCCAGGCAACAAAACAAACAAACGAACAAAACUUUCCUGCCCCAGGUUUCGCUAGAAAAGUUUCAUGAGUUAUUGGUAACAAAACUCUAUACUACUUCAUUACUGAAAUAAAAGGUCGAGAUUGUGUAUCCUGGAAAAAGAGACUAGAGAGUGGUGACCCUAUGUCUAGAAUGAAAUCAACUAGGGAGUGGAGACCCUAUGUUGGAAAAGCGACUAGGGAGUAGAGAUCCUAUGUCUAAGAUAAAAUCAACUAGGGAUUGGAGACCCUAUGUUGGAAAAUCAUCAACUAGGGAAUGAUGACCCUAUGCUGGCAUCAACUUGGGAGUAGUGACCCUACAUUGGCAUCAAGUUAUGUUGGCAUCAGGUUAAGCUGGCAUCAACUAGGGAGUGGAGACCCUAUGUUGGCAUCAACUAGAGAUGGUGACCCUAUGUUGGCAUCAGGUUAUGUUGGCAUCAACUAGGGAGUGGAGACCCUAUGUUGGCAUCAACUAGGGAGUGGUGACCCUAUGUUGGCAUCAGGUUAUGCUGCAUCAGGUUUUGAUAACAUCAACUAAGGAAUGGAGACCCUAUGUUGGUAUCAACUAAGGAGUGAUGACCCUAUAUUGGCAUCAGGCUAUGCUGGCAUCAACUAAGGAGNGGAGACCCUAUGUUGUCAUCAACUAGGGAGUGGUGACCCUAUGUUGGCAUCAGGUUAUACUAGUAUCAGGCUAUGCUAGCAUUAACUAGGGAGUGGAGACCCUAUGUUGGCAUCAACUAAGGAGUGGUGACCCUAUGUUGGCAUCAGGUUAUGUUGGUAUCAACUAGGGAGGGGAGACCCUAUGUUGGCAUCAACUAGGGAGUGGUGACCCUAUGUUGGCAUCAGGUUAUGCUGGUAUCAGGUUAUGCUGGCAUCAACUAGGAAGUGUGACCCUAUAUUGGCAUCAACUAGGGAGUGGUGACCAUAUGUUGGCAUUAGGUUAUGCUGGCAUCAACUAGAGAGUGGAGACCCUAUGUUGGCAUCAACUAAGGAGUGGUGACCCUAUGUUGGCAUCAGGUUAUGCUGGCAUCAGGUUAUGUUGGUAUCAACUAGGGAGUGGUGACCCUAUGUUGGCAUCAACUAGGGAGUGGUGACCCUAUGUUAGCAUCAGAUUAUGCUAGCAUCACCCUAUGUUGGCAUCGACUAGGGAGUGGUGACCCUAUUUUUGCAACAGGUUAUGUUGGCACCAACUAGGGAGUGGUGACCAUAUGUUGGCAUCAACUAGGGAGUAGUGACCCUAUGUUGGCAUCAACUAGGGAGUGGUGACCCUAUGUUGGCAUUAGGUUAUGUUGGCAUCAACUAGGGAGUGGGAACCCUAUGUUGGCAUCAACUAGGAGUGGUAAACCUAUGUUGGAAAAGACGCAGCUAGGGAUUAGAGACCCUAUGCUACCAUGAUUUUGAACUUUUCUUCUUUUCUUUCUUUUCAUUUCAUUUUUUUCAUCAUCAUUUUCAUUUUUUUUAUUUAAUAAAAUGAGUAAAAAUGCAGGAAAGAAUUUGGAGAAGACUUCCUUUUUGGAUUGAUUAUUGUUGCAGAGCUAUUUUAGUCUCUACGUGAUUUCCUUUUAUUGCACCUGCUUCUUGCAAGGUUGCUUUGAAUUACACCUGUUUUUCUGUUUUUCAAACAAAGAACAAUUUGUCAGUUCGAAAUAGUGGUUCGUUUGUGGCCUUGGGCAUUUCAGUCACUUGAUCUCGGGUCUUUCAUCUGCAACUGGUCGAUUCCUGAAUACCGAUUGCAAUUCUAACCCUGGAGAACCUCUGGCUUUUCCAGACUUUGCCAUGAUGGAUGAUCGCGUGAGAUUCAACCUUUUUGACUUUAUUUUGCCUUUGUAGGCCUUUCACUUCUGACUUGUUUUGUCAUUUUUUUCCUCUUUUUUUUUUCAAUUUUUAACUUUGGAGCAUUGGGGAACAUUUUGCUCCUCAAACUUUGCUGCAACGGCUAGUCGCGUGGGACUUAACCUUUUCCAAUUUUAUUUCGCCUUCAUUGCCCUUUCAUUUCUGGCUUCUUUCUUCCAACUUUAAUUUCAGAGCAUUUGGGGUAUCUUGGCUUUUCAAACCCUGCCGAGAUGGUUAUCCACAUGGAACUCAAUCAUUUCAACUUCAUUUGCCUUUAUAGGCACUUCAAUUAGAUUUUCUCCUUCCAAGAGUUUUGAUUUCGAAGCAUCGGCCGCCAUGGCCAGUCGAGGUCGACUUGAUGCCCCUGAUGAGGCUGGGUGCCUUUUUGUGUAUUAGCUUGUAUCAAAGGAGAACCCUGUAAAUCAGUCUUACAAUCCUUUCUUUAUCUUAGUUUCGGAACAAAGUUAGGCCGAAAGGAAUUCAAAGAAAAAUAAACAAUGGAAAGGACAAUGAAUUUAAACAAAAGGUAUCCCUUUCGGGGAAACGACAGAAGGACUUAUCUGGAGUACAUGACAUGCCUUUAUGACUGGAUGUCUUAUUUGUGCAAACCGUCCGACUCUCAGAAAUUCAUCACAACCUUUGCCUCGAAAUCGAGAAACCUUGUACAGGACUAUGUCAGUGUCAGUGACUGAAGAUCCUCUUUUUCGAUCAGUGGUGCUCUUUGCGGGUUUUCACGAGAUGACCUCUCUCAUUUCUCUUCUCACCAUCGCCUUGUAGUGAUAUUUGCGAGUUUUCACUAACAAGACUUUCAUUUUAGUUUCUUUACUUACCAUCGUCUUACAGUGCCAGUGGGAGUUUUCAUCGAUAAGACUCUCUCAUUUCAUUUCUCUCAUUUGGUUGUAUCAGAUCCAAGUAUCUGUAUCCUCCAAUUCUUGAACAUUCUCGGUGAUUGAUCAGAAGGACUUGAACAGGGGUUUGGAGUAAAAAGCAUUUGGAUUGAAUUACAACCUUGGAACCUUUCAGGCAAACCCAUCGUCGAACCAUUGUAACUUCUGCCCCAGUUUCAACUUUUGGGGGAAUUUGGAUUUUUAUUUUGGUGUGAAUGAACCCCAGAGUGAGGUUGCCUAUGUAUCCUUUCAGAAUCAAGUCGAACGUAGUUCAAGGAACUUUAUUUUUUAUUUUCUUUGUUUUUCUCUUUUCUUUUGUGUUUUUUUUUUCUCUUUCUUUUUCCUUUCCUUUUUUUCUUUUUUUUUCUUUCAUUUUUCAUUUCAUUUUCUUUUUAUCUCUUUUUUGUUGUUUUUUUUCAAUAACACUUUCAAGUUCCAAAGAGGGUAAUCAAAGAAAGGUAAUCGGCUCAAAGGGUUUGCAAAGGAUUGAAUAUUUGGAUAGUGAAAAAGAAAGUCAUCUUCAUCCCAACCAGAGAACAUUAUUGUUAUAUAGAGAAUCCAACAUAGUACUUUUUGACUGCACUUGCGUUGACAGUUGUUUCAGGGACAUUUCCUUCGAUGUGUCCCAAGUACAAUGUUCUCUUUUGGUAGUACUCUUGUUGCAAUGUAUGGACCUUUCCAAUCUGGAGCCACUUUUUCUUUAGCUGUUCCGAUUCAUUGUUUUAUUUUCUUAAACUUAUCUUCAUUGCAAUCUAAUUCUUGAUUCAUUAUUUCGAGGUCUGACAGCGUUUUAGGAUCCGGGCAUGAGGUCUGCAAGCAUGUCAUGUUAUUUAAAUCUGCAUUUAAUAGAACUAAAAAGAGAAUAAGAAAAGUGACAAUAAGAAAAGAGACAUUCCUGGGCAAUGAAAUGAAUUUUUUUUAAUUUUAAAGAUAGAAGGGUUUACAUAGGAAAGUAAGACAAUAAAGUAAACCAUCCGGAUCACACCCUGAGAUAAUCCGGACGCAGAAAGGAUCGCAAGACUGGCUACCGAGACUCCCGUCUGAUAGGAAAUUUUCAAGUUUGGCGACCGUUUUUUAGUUUUUCUUCUUCUCGGCAAUGGCCUUCAGUGCCGGAUCAAAUUCCUUAUCUUCACAAAUCAUUCUGACUACUGGCCCAUUGUUGUGAGCUGGCAAGGGAUUGUUCGUCACAUCUGGAGCCUCCUCGUCCUGAAAAAUGAUUCUUUCGGCUUCAAUCAAAUUUUUAAUUGCCCUCUUGAGGGUCCAACAGUCCUCUGUACUAUGUCCCACUACUCCAGAGUGGUAUUCACAUCUAGCAUCAGCUCGGUGCGAGGGGGACUCGAGGUUCGGCCGGUUCGGGGCCACUGGCUGCAGCAGACCUAGCCUGAUUUGCUUUUCGAACAAGCUUGAAUAUGAUUCACCAAUAUGGGUGAACUGAUUCUUUCUGAAAGGCUCUCUUGGGCGAGGAUUGUACUGGGGGACAUUUGGUUGGGAUUAUAUGGAGCUUGGUAAGGAUGGGCAUUUCUGGAAGGUGGAGCUCAUUUUUGUGUAUAAUGAUGUGACCGCAUGUAAGGUUGCGCGCUCAUCACCACGUAGGGAGGCGGUGCAACAACAUAAGCAGCAUCUUGAAAGGGAUAAUAGUAUGGUAGGACCGAGACCAUAGGAAUCAUGUCUUUGGUUCUUGUGAAGUAAGGAUGAAAAGUGAGAUUACCAACAAAACCAACCACCUGAACAGAACCUGGCUAAUUUGCACACCCAACAACCUUGUUAGUUUUGAAAUGCUUAACAGAUAGGAAAUCGCACGUUUGGAUGCAAUGCACCUAAACAGUUAAACGUUUCUACCAUGUGUUUGAACGAUUGCUUGUUUCAUCCCGGCCUUAACUAACCUUUUUCACUCUGUACCUCUUUUCUUUCAUUUCUGUCUCUCUUUAAUCACUCUUGAUUUUCUCAUCUUGUUUCUGUCACUUUUAUUUUUGGCACUCUCUUUUUCUCUUUUUGUUUUUGUUACUCUUUUGUUUAUUACUAUUUUUUCGCUCUUUUUUCCUUUUAUUUUUGUCACUCUUUUCUUUCUUUUUCACUCAAUUUUUCUUUUCUUUUUUUAGUUUAUUUUUCACUCAAUUUAUUUUAUAGAUAUAAUUGAAUCCGAUGGGGAUUGCCUACGUAUCAUGACGCCGCAUGAAUCAGAUAAUUAGCACAUUAGGCCCACAAACACAGUAAGAAGACAAUUUAUACAGUUUAAAUGAUAUCAAAGCGGUAGCGGCAAUUAGCACAUUAGGCACACAAACACAGUAAUAUCAAAAAUCAAGAAAGCUAAGUAUAGAUCACAUUACAAGCUCGAAUUCUGAAUCUUGAACCAGAGAUUCUGGGUUCUUAUUCCCCAGCAGAGUAGCUAGAGCUGCCACACCUCCUUUUUUCCGAGGAGGAUAGGGAGUUUUUCCAAUUUAAGUGACAUUAUUCGGAUUAGGAUUAUUUAUUUUAUUUUAGAGUCGCCACUUGAGAUAAUUUAUGGAUCCAAGUCACCGGUUUAUUUUAAAUCCCAAAUCGAUAAUAUUUGACUCUGUUUAAAGGCUGUGAAACCAGAAGACCUGGUAAGGAAUUCUGUUAACCACUUUUAUCAUCUACCACUUUUAAUUAUGAUGUUUAUGGAUUUAAUCUUGAAACGGAUAACAUGUGUGUAAACCCGCUUAAUUUGGGGUGCUUAAAUCACGUCAUGCAUACGUGUACACAAUUAAUCACAUUUUAUUAGUUUGGGAUUGUUUGGCCAAAGUUGCGCGAGCGCAUACUUUGAUUUAUUUUUGGGAAUCGUAACCAUAUCACGCGAACAUGUACACAAUCACGAUGAUUUGAUUAAUUAGAGUGUGCCUAAAAGCAUACUAACAUAUUGAUUUUGAAGUUAUGAGGCAUUUUUCUUAUUAUGGAAAACUUGACCAAAUUUAUUCAAAGAAUGGGCCUUCUGAAUUUGGAAAUUCGGUCCAUUUAUUAGAAGAACGUUUCAUAAAAAAGAAAGCUAUUCUCAAGCCCACUUCUCAAUUAGUGAUUUAACCAAACAAAAACUUAUGAGUCAAAACUCUUUAACUAUUAUUAAUAAACAAACAACGACCCACAUUAUCAAUCAAUAACCCAAAUUAUCAUUUAAUAUACAACAAAAUCAAAUGGCUCAAUUCCAGCAUAACUACUGUAUUUGUUUUUUUUAUUUAACAAAUAAAAGAAGAGAUCAAACCAUGAAUAUUUAAGACAUUUUUCUAACAAACAUGCUGAAUAUCCCAACUCAUAAAAAUGGCAACAUGUCAAAACAAAGAAGAAAUCAGAAUAUACACAAACAUAGUAAUGUGGUCACGUUUAGUUCAAUCUUGACAGGAGCUAGCAGAAUAAAGCAAUAUUGAAGAUUCACACUUAACAAUAAAAAACGGACCUUAGUGAAACUUGACUCGCCGACUCGGCCACAAAACUAGAAAUCACAGACGAGUAAAAUUGACGGAGCUCAUCAAAAUUUCAGCGAAACAGCAACAGCAGUAGCGAAUAACGAAAUUUCAAACCAAUUUCUCUUCCCUCGAACUCCUAUUUCACUUUGGUUUUUUUGAAAGUUUUCAUUCCCAAAUCUGACUUUGCAAGAAAAAUUAUAUUAUUUUUAACUUUAGAGGGUGGCGGCUAAGUGAAGAAGUGUAGGGCUAUUAGGGUUUUUCAAUUUUGGGGAAGGUUCUUAUUUUUUCUGGUGUGUGUGUAUUAGUGAUGAAGGUGAGAGUUGAGAGUCGCCGUUUUUGGAAUUUUUAGGAAGGAGGAUGAGUUUUUUUUUGUUGAAGAAGAGAGGAGAAUGGAGCCGUUGUUAGUGUUUUUAGGGAGGGGUUCUUUUUUCUAUGGGAAUUGGAGGAGAUGGGGAUAACGGCUGAAGCUCUCAAAUGGGGAGAGGAUUUCAUUGCAGCAAUAGAGGAAAAAGAAAAAAAGGGGUGCCGUUGGUGUAGGGAAGUCCAAUUAUUGCCUUUUUUUUUUGGUGGGGGGAUCAUUUUUGUUCUCUUGAAGGGAAGGGGAUCCAAAAUUAGGUCUAGGAUUUUUUGUGGGAAGGGGCUAAUAAGGAAGGGGGAAUCCGAUUAGGCUUGGGAUUUUGGGUCCUGAA
rnacentral:lncRNA from 1 species